rnacentral:rRNA from 1 species
UACGUAGGGUGCAAGCGUUGUCCGGAAUUAUUGGGCGUAAAGAGCUCGUAGGCGGUCUGUCACGUCGGCUGUGAAAUCCCGAGGCUCAACCUCGGGUCUGCAGUCGAUACGGGCAAACUAGAGUAUUGCAGGGGAGACUGGAAUUCCUGGUGUAGCGGUGAAAUGCGCAGAUAUCAGGAGGAACACCGGUGGCGAAGGCGGGUCUCUGGGCAACAUCAGCGCUGAGGAGCGAAAGCGUGGGGAGCGAACAGG